rnacentral:rRNA from 1 species
GGGGGGGCAAGCGUUGUUCGGAAUUACUGGGCGUAAAGGGCUCGUAGGUGGCCAACUAAGUCAGACGUGAAAUCCCUCGGCUUAACCGGGGAACUGCGUCUGAUACUGGAUGGCUGGAGUAUGGGAGAGGGAUGCGGAAUUCCAGGUGUAGCGGUGAAAUGCGUAGAUAUCUGGAGGAACACCGGUGGCGAAGGCGGCAUCCUGGACCAUUACUGACGCUGAGGAGCGAAAGCCAGGGGAGCAAACGGGAUUAGAUACCCCGGUAGUCCUGGCCCUAAACGAUGAAUGCUUGGUGUGGCGGGUAUCGAUCCCUGCCGUGCCGAAGCUAACGCAUUAAGCAUUCCGCCUGGGGAGUACGGUCGCAAGGCUG